CAGAGAGAGGAGACUGGAAAGAGAAAGUGGAACAGAGGGGAGUGUCAAAGAGAAGGAGCGAAUAAGGUUUAUAAAGGGCCAGGAAAAGAGCGUCACAAAUUGUGGGUCAAGAGGGGGAGAGAGGGAACAUGUGAAAGGAGAAUUUGAAUAUUGGUGUCAAAUGUCUGAAGAGCAGCGUACGCGGCCUUAGAGAGACGAUGGGUCCGGCUCUGCGAUCUGUGAGUUUGCAGGGCAGCAAGAUGCCGGAGCGUCUGUGGCUGCUUCUCACCCUUCUGACCCUCCCGCACUACGGGCGCUCUCAGACUCUCCACCAGACCCCCCGAUUCCUUGCUCUGCCCCCCGGCUCCUCUGUCCAGCUGCACUGCUACCUGCAGGGAUACAGUUCAAGCCCCUGGAUGUACUGGUACCGGCAGCCGCCCCAGGGGGGAGCCCUGCACGCGCUCGUUCUCUCCAGAGGCGAGGAUUCGAUUGACGCCAGUUCGGAGAGACACUUUCGGGCUGCCCGACCGACCCAGCAGAACUUCACGCUGGACACAGACGGCCUCUUCCCCAACGACACGGGGCUGUAUUACUGCGCCUGGAGCCGCACACCGAGCCGAGCGGGUGCAGCCCCUGGACAAAAACUCCCCCUCCCCCCGCCGCUGUGAGGAGCUGAGCUGAGAUCAGGUUUCACCCACUAGCUCAGGCCCCUGCCCUGUCCCCUCCCACAGACCCGGUGAGUCACAGCCCCAGCUUCUCCCUUCGUUCCUUGACGCGGAGCGUCUGUGUCAUGUUUCCUCACAGCUGUUAGCGAUGGAAGAGAUGUCUGAGGCCUCAUCUGAUCCAAGCCCUUUCCAGCCACGGCAGGAUUAUUCCCUGUGAUGUAUUCACCAGCCUAGGUAUAAAUGGACAUUAUUUUCUCCCUCCAGGGGGACUACUGCCUGUCUCACACACACCUCGCCUUCAGGGAACAUUUCCCAUUUCUCCAGACGAAAAGGUCCCCUUUGCUCAGUUGGCUCUGGUUCUGCGACCUUUUGACCACAGAUGGAGUGGAGAGGAGAUUUCAGCUUGAUAUUAGGGAAUCAUGAAAGAAACCUCAGAGAGACAGAGAGUGAGAGAGGGAGUAUAUGAAAUGGGUUAAACUGCCCCAGGUCAUGCAAUGAUUUGCUGACAGAGCUAGGGGAUAAAAACUGGAGUCCUGACUCCCAGGCUCCUGCCCUUCCCAGCAGAACUACCCCUUUUUGUACUGGUACCAGCUAUUAGAGGUAGGAUGUGCUGGAAAUUGACCAAUGAGCUAAAGUAAUGAAAACCAGCUUUUGCCAAGGUUUAAACAGUUGCAUGUCCUUUUAAAGGUCUAUGCCAGCUCAUGUUAUGGCUGAAUUUAUCCCCUCUGUUUGUAUCUCUUGUUGGCAGUGUAUGCUUUCCAUGCACUGGAGCAGUUUUACAUUGCAGGCAGUGGAGCUGUCUCCAAAUGGGCUGAUAUAAAAUCACUCAUGUUAUCUCAGUAAGAGAAUAUGAGUCUUUUGACCAAAUCUAGCAACUGCUUACGGGAUUCUGGCCUCCCCAUGGAGCACUUAUUCCCUUCUCCUGCUGUGCUAUAUUAUUUUAAAACUGUACAGGUAAAAAAGAAAAUGUGUGUGAGUGUCAUGAGAUAAUAACACACCUCAAAAGAAAUCAAAUGUUUAGAAACAUCAGAGAUGAGAAUGUCCAAAGUUCAAGAAUAUUCCCUCAUGCCAAUAGUCUGAGGAUAUGGCAGGUGAUGGUGUAUAAUGUACCCAUCUGAUCCUAAUGGAGGUUUCUUGCUCACAGCUCGAGAGGCACACCCUUAUUCAUCUUGAUAUGCCCCUGGGGUUGGGGAGUUCUUCCCAGACACCAAAUCAGAUGAUCAGUUGAAUCGCGCACAUGCGGGUGAGGGAUUCCCUAGCAGUUAAGCAUCUAGGGCUCAAUUCUGUAACUUCUCACUGAAGUUAGGGGGGAGUUAAGGGUAUUCAGAACCUUGCCUAAGAGUGAGAACAUGACUGUUUCUACCCUGCGAUACUGUUGCUGAACAAGGUCCAUUUUUUAAAUUAUAUCCUGGUGGCGGUGAUUCUGCUGGUAUCGCCAAUCAGUCACUGUGUGUGUCUGUGACCUGAGUCACUUCAUGCCCCUGCUCCCUUAGAAAUGCGCAGCAGGUGUCACGUGUCAAUGUAGGAGAUGGCUGUGGAUGCAGUGAAA